rnacentral:tRNA from 1 species
GCCGAGGUAGCUCAGUCGGUAGAGCAGCGGACUGAAAAUCCGUGUGUCAGCAGUUCGAUUCUGCUCCUCGGCA